ACAGCUUGCUUGGCUCUACUCUUUUGAAUGUUAAGGUCAGAAGAACACAGAGCUAACCUGUUGAUAAAAUAGAAUAAAUAUCUUUAUUUGAACACUUUAAACAGUGGACAACCUGUACAUGGAGAGUAAACCAGGAGGGGAACAUAUGGGCUUUUUGUAAAUAUUUUGGAAAGAAGCACAGACACCCUUUGCCUCACAAUGUCAGGAACUGCAAGGGGAAAACAACCAGAAGCAAGAAGGAGGCCCCGCUACCUACUGUAAUGCCAUGGCAGGCUGGCAAGGAAAUUAAGGUCAAGGCAGCAGAAACUGAGAGCUCCAGCAACUCUGCACACAGCAGGCAGCGCUACAUCAGCCCAAACAUAGAUUUCCUUUCUAGAAUGACAAAACAUUGGAAUGGUGGCAAACAGAAACCUGGGCAGAACUGUUAUACAUGUCAUGGUAUCUUGAGCAAUGAAUUCUUUCUGUUAAUAUUAACUGCAAGAUGA
rnacentral:lncRNA from 1 species